GACGAACGCUGGCGGCGUGCUUAACACAUGCAAGUCGAACGGUGAAGCGCCUUCCUUUUUGGUGGGUGUGGAUGAGUGGCGAACGGGUGAGUAACACGUGAGUAACCUGCCCCCUUCUUCUGGAUAACCGCAUGAAAGUGUGGCUAAUACGGGAUAUUCUGGGUCUGUCGCAUGAUGGGUCUGGGAAAGAUAUUGUUUCGGUGGGGGAUGGGCUCGCGGCCUAUCAGCUUGUUGGUGGGGUGAUGGCCUACCAAGGCGGUGACGGGUAGCCGGCCUGAGAGGGUGGACGGUCACACUGGGACUGAGCCACGGCCCAGCCUCCUACGGGAGGCAGCAGUGGGGAAUAUUGCACAAUGGGCGCAAGCCUGAUGCAGCGACGCCGCGUGAGGGAUGGAGGCCUUCGGGUUGUGAACCUCUUUCGCCAGUGAAGCAGGCCUGCCUCGUUUGUGGGUGGGUUGACGGUAGCUGGAUAAGAAGCGCCGGCUAACUACGUG
rnacentral:rRNA from 1 species